AGUAACAUUUCUCAACUGAAACAACUCCCGCUGUACCUGUGGACACAGAAGCAAAAGUUUCCUCCUUAGGUCAUGAACUUCCGUCCGAAGCAAAGAAGCUGGAAAGAUUGCAAGAGCUGAGAAGGAAUGGAGGAACUGUUAUCUAAUACGAUUCCAAAACUGGGGAUCUUCAGUUAUUUGGAGAGGUGCAGGUUAGAACAAAUAACAGGCACUUCAGCCCACCAAGACUGCAGUAAAAUAUGAGGGCUUUAACACAGUGGGACCUUGUGCACAGCCUGAAGACCAUGUUUGAGAGGAGUUAAAGGACGCUACAAGAUUUUCAUAGCUUGAAGCUAGGAAAAGAAAUCUACAGUGAGAGAUAAUUCUGCGGUCAGAGGUUCUCCGGCUAGGAAAAUAAAAUCAAGCAGUCCAUCUAACUAUCCAUUGAGCAGCAGGAAGGAGCCCCCAGAAUGACGCAAGUUAAACAGAUCAGCAACCGCUUUAAGGUCAGCGGCUGAUUUAUUUCUACACAUAGUUGCUAAGUUAGAAAGAUUUGGACAUUUGUACAGCAAUUUAGUGUUGCUGAAGUCCGCAGGGAGUGAAAUGGCAAAUGAUAAAAUCCUGGGUUCUCAUUUCAAACUUGAAAGAAAUUAUGACUAUUCUCAGAUUUGACCA